rnacentral:rRNA from 1 species
GGAUGCGAUCAUACCAGCACUAAAGCACCGGAUCCCAUCAAAACUCCGAAGUUAAGCGUGCUUGGGCGAGAGUAGUANAAGUCCUCGUGUUGCAUUCC